CACGUAGGGGGGCGAGCGUUGUCCGGAUUUAUUGGGCGUAAAGAGCUCGUAGGCGGCUCAGUAAGUCGGGUGUGAAAACUCCAGGCUCAACCUGGAGACGCCACCUGAUACUGCUGUGGCUAGAGUCCGGUAGGGGAGCAUGGAAUUCCUGGUGUAGCGGUGAAAUGCGCAGAUAUCAGGAGGAACACCAAUUGCGAAGGCAGCUCGCUGGGACGUAACUGACGCUGAGACGCGAAAGCGUGGGGAGCGAACAGG
rnacentral:rRNA from 1 species